rnacentral:rRNA from 1 species
UUUAGCAUGGAAUAAUGGAAUAGGACUUUGGUUCUAUUUUGUUGGCUUCUAGGACCGAAGUAAUGAUUAAUAGGGAUAGUUGGGGACGUUAGUAUUUAGAUGUCAGAGGUGAAAUUCUUAGAUUUUCCAAAGACUAACUUCUGCGAAAGCAUUCGUCAAGGAUGUUUUCAUUAAUCAAGAACGAAAGUUAGGGGAUCGAAGACGAUCAGAUACCGUCGUAGUCUUAACCAUAAACUAUGCCGACUAGGGAUCGGACGAUGUAUAAUUAAUGACUCGUUCGGCACCUUAUGAGAAAUCAAAGUUUUUGGGUUCCGGGGGGAGUAUGGUCGCAAGGCUGAAACUUAAAGGAAUUGACGGAAGGGCACCACCAGGAGUGGAGCCUGCGGCUUAAUUUGACUCGACACGGGGAAACUCACCAGGUCCAGACACAAUGAGGAUUGACAGAUUGAGAGCUCUUUCUUGAUUUUGUGGGUGGUGGUGCAUGGCCGUUCUUAGUUGGUGAAGUGAUUUGUCUGCUUAAUUGCGAUAACGAACGAGACCUUAACCUGCUAAAUAGCCCGUAUUGCUUUGGCAGUACGCUGGCUUCUUAGAGGGACUAUCGGCUCAAGCCGAUGGAAGUUUGAGGCAAUAACAGGUCUGUGAUGCCCUUAGAUGUUCUGGGCCGCACGCGCGCUACACUGACGGAGCCAGCGAGUACUCCCUUGGCCGGAAGGCCUGGGUAAUCUUGUUAAACUCCGUCGUGCUGGGGAUAGAGCAUUGCAAUA